GGUAAAAUGGCUGAGUAAAGCAAUAGACUGUAAAUCUAAGAAUAGAGGUUUGAUUCCUCUUUUUACCA